rnacentral:tRNA from 1 species
GGGCCUGUGGUAUAGUGGUAACAUACCUCCAUGGCAUGGAGGGGUCCGGGGUUCGACUCCCCGCAGGUCCACCA